CCUACGGGUGGCUGCAGUGGGGAAUAUUGGGCAAUGGGCGCAAGCCUGACCCAGCAACGCCGCGUGAAGGAAGAAGGCUUUCGGGUUGUAAACUUCUUUGGCCAGGGACGAUAAUGACGGUACCUGGAGAACAAGCCACGGCUAACUACGUGCCAGCAGCCGCGGUAAUACGUAGGUGGCGAGCGUUAUCCGGAUUUACUGGGUGUAAAGGGCGUGUAGGCGGGUUGGCAAGUCGGGUGUGAAAUUUACAGGCUUAACCUGUAACGGUCAUCCGAAACUGCCGAUCUUGAGUGUCGGAGAGGAAAGUGGAAUUCCUAGUGUAGCGGUAAAAUGCGUAGAGAUUAGGAGGAACACCAGUGGCGAAGGCGACUUUCUGGACGAUAACUGACGCUGAGGCGCGAAAGCGUGGGGAGCAAACAGGAUUAGAUACCCUUGUAGUC
rnacentral:rRNA from 1 species